CGAAACGGGUGAGUAACACGUGGGAAUCUGCCCAAAAGUGGGGAACAACUCCUCGAAAGAGGAGCUAAUACCGCAUACGGUCUGUAAAGACUAAAGCUUCGCAAGAGGCGCUUUUGGAGGAGCCUGCGGCUGAUUAGCUAGUUGGUGGGGUAAAGGCCUACCAAGGCGAUGAUCAGUAGCUGGUCUGAGAGGAUGGACAGCCACACUGGGACUGAGAUACGGCCCAG
rnacentral:rRNA from 1 species